CUAAUCGACAAACCAGUAAUAUGCAAAAUAUCCCUCAAACCAAAAUAGAGCUUGAGAUUGCCAUUUUGAUCCAAAAUAAACGUUUGAUUGUCACUACUGUACUUGGUUGCAAAAGCCUGAAUCAAGUAGUGACAAUGUUUAUCAUUAUAGCUGGUAAGCUUCAGCAAGUUCUCAAACCCAGAGCCCUCUAGGACUCCAACCACAUCAGCACCAACUUCCAAACCUUUAAUUUUGGGCAAAUGUUCAUAAAUCCUCAACUUCAGCACUGCAAGACAAAGAAACAGCUGCUCAAAGAGUACGAUAGAAGAAGAUUGGCUGGAAGGAGACUGACAAGGGGACUUCGUCUGAAGAUUGGGUAUUUUUAUCCUUUGGAGAUUUAAAAGGAGAUAGAAUUCUGAAAUGACUCAUUAGAAGAAUUUGUGUUCGAAUAGCAUCAAACUUAAUUAGUAAUCCUACAAGAAAACUCAUUACAGUCAUUUGUAUAGAAUGAGAGAAUUCAAUUCCUCAUAUACUCGUUUAAAAUCUAUGAAAUAUUUUGUAAGGGAUCUCUGCUGUUUUUUCGGACGGUAAAAUAUCUUGCAAACAUCAUAUAUAUGAUUUAAAUUAUCCUUACCAGAAUACAAGAAAGUCAAAUAAUCCAUAAGAUCUUUAACAAACUCAUAAUGAUUGAUCAGAUUGACUAUCUCAUUAUCAAUAGAGUUUCGGAUCUGCAAAAAUAGUUUUGCAUCUUCUCUUAGCCAAGUCUUCUUUUCUUCCCCAUCAACGGGUGGGUCAUGAGUGAGAUGAUAAUCUUUAUCGAUACUGCGCAGAUAUAUCCGGAUAGUUUUACUCCAAUCCAAAAAAAAAAAA